CACGUAGGGCGCAAGCGUUGUCCGGAAUUAUUGGGCGUAAAGAGCUCGUAGGCGGUCUGUUGCGUCCGCUGUGAAAACUCGGGGCUUAACCCCGAGCCUGCAGUGGAUACGGGCAGACUAGAGGUAGGUAGGGGAGAAUGGAAUUCCCGGUGUAGCGGUGAAAUGCGCAGAUAUCGGGAGGAACACCGGUGGCGAAGGCGGUUCUCUGGGCCAUACUGACGCUGAGGAGCGAAAGCGUGGGGAGCGAACAGGAUUAGACUACCGUAG
rnacentral:rRNA from 1 species